UACAGAGGUGGCGAGCGUUGUUCGGAUUCAUUGGGUGUAAAGGGUGCGUAGGCGGUUUGGAAAGUCAUAUGUGAAAGCCCACAGCUCAACUGUGGAAUUGCAUCUGAAACUUCCAGACUCGAGUGCGAGAGAGGUGAAGGGAAUUCCCGGUGUAAGGGUGAAAUCUGCAGAGAUCGGGAGGAACACCUGUAGCGAAGGCGCUUCACUGGCUCGUAACUGACGCUGAGUGCACGAAGGCGUGGGGAGCAAACGGG
rnacentral:rRNA from 1 species